UACCUUACCUGACUGGGGGGCUCUCGCGAUCAUGAAGGUGGGACCCCCAUGGUGAGGCCAUCAAAGUGCACUUUAGUGUGGGCUGACCAGUGUAGCAGCUUCGCAUUUUGUUCUUUCUUUUAUUUUCAUUGAUUAAAAUUUUUUAUUGAGUUAUUUUUAU
rnacentral:snRNA from 16 species